rnacentral:rRNA from 1 species
CAGAGAGCUUGCUCUCUUGAAGUUAGUGGCGAACGGGUGAGUAACGCGUAAUCAACCUGCCCUUCAGAGGGGGAUAACAACGGGAAACCGUUGCUAAUACCGCGUACGAUUCAUGAACGGCAUCGUUUAUGAAUGAAAGGUGGCCUCUAUGUAUAAGCUAUCGCUGAAGGAGGGGAUUGCGUCUGAUUAGCUAGUUGGAGGGGUAACGGCCCACCAAGGCAAUGAUCAGUAGCCGGUCUGAGAGGAUGAACGGCCACAUUGGGACUGAGACACGGCCCAAACUCCUACGGGAGGCAGCAGUGGGGAAUCUUCCGCAAUGGACGAAAGUCUGACGGAGCAACGCCGCGUGAGUGAUGAAGGUCUUCGGAUUGUAAAGCUCUGUUAAUCGGGACGAAAGAGUUCUGUGUAAAUAAUGCAGAAAAGUGACGGUACCGGAAUAGAAAGCCACGGCUAACUACGUGCCAGCAGCCGCGGUAAUACGUAGGUGGCAAGCGUUGUCCGGAAUUAUUGGGCGUAAAGCGCGCGCAGGCGGCCUAUCCAGUCUGUCUUAAAAGUUCGGGGCUCAACCCCGUGAUGGGAUGGAAACUAGUAGGCUAGAGUAUCGGAGAGGAAAGCGGAAUUCCUAGUGUAGCGGUGAAAUGCGUAGAUAUUAGGAAGAACACCAGUGGCGAAGGCGGCUUUCUGGACGAAAACUGACGCUGAGGCGCGAAAGCCAGGGGAGCGAACGGGAUUAGAUACCCCGGUAGUCCUGGCCGUAAACGAUGGGUACUAGGUGUAGGAGGUAUCGACCCCUUCUGUGCCGG